rnacentral:rRNA from 1 species
ACGAACGCUGGCGGCGUGCUUAACACCUGCAAGUCGCACGGAAAGGCCCUGCUUUUGUGGGGUGCUCGAGUGGCGAACGGGUGAGUAACACGUGAGUAACCUGCCCUUGACUUUGGGAUAACUUCAGGAAACUGGGGCUAAUACCGGAUAGGAGCUCCUGCUGCAUGGUGGGGGUUGGAAAGUUUCGGCGGUUGGGGAUGGACUCACGGCUUAUCAGCUUGUUGGUGGGGUAGUGGCUUACCAAGGCUUUGACGGGUAGCCGGCCUGAGAGGGUGACCGGCCACAUUGGGACUGAGAUACGGCCCAGACUCCUACGGGAGGCAGCAGUGGGGAAUAUUGCACAAUGGGCGGAAGCCUGAUGCAGCAACGCCGCGUGCGGGAUGACGGCCUUCGGGUUGUAAACCGCUUUCGCCUGUGACGAAGCGUGAGUGACGGUAAUGGGUAAAGAAGCACCGGCUAACUACGUG